AACCUACCUAUCAGAGGGGAAUAACCCGGCGAAACGUCGGACUAAUACCGCAUAAAACAGGGGGCACCGCAUGGUGAUAUUUGUUAAAGAAAUUCGCUGAUAGAUGGGCAUGCGUUACCAUUAGGUAGUUGGUGAGGUAACGGCUCACCAAGCCGACGAUGGAUAGGGGAACUGAGAGGUUGGUCCCCCCACACUGGUACUGAGACACGGACCAGACUCCUACGGGAGGCAGCAGUGAGGAAUAUUGGUCAAUGGGCGGGAGCCUGAACCAGCCAAGUCGCGUGAAGGAAGAAGGAUCUAUGGUUCGUAAACUUCUUUUGCAGGGGAAUAAAGUGCAGGACGUGUCCUGUUUUGUAUAGUACCCUGAGAAUAAGGAUCGGCUAACUCCGUGCCAGCAGCCGC
rnacentral:rRNA from 1 species